rnacentral:lncRNA from 1 species
CUUUUUCAAAUAUGCUGCUUUGGUAUUUGUUGACUUUAAAUACAAAACAGCAAAGCCAGGGGAAGUUUCUAGGCAUUUCCCUUACCUGCCUAAAGAUAAGUCCUCCAAAAAGAACUCAGUUGUCAUUAAUCUUCCCAAACAUCUUCCCUAGCUUUCAACCAGGAGAGUCAAAUCUUAUCACAGAAGAGGAAACUUAAAGUUGACACCACAUCCUGGCACACUGUGUCACAAAUUAUCAAUCCUUCUAACAGCCCAUAUUCUCUUUCCCAAAUUCCUUAUUCUCCUGUAAGUUGCCUACAUCUCUCUUCCCCUUGCCCUAAUGAAGAGGGCACAUAACAUUCUAAAUCUCACUGUUUGGGAGAUACUUUUUCUGCCUAGUGAUAUCCCAAUAUAUGAAAUACACAUGUAUAGCUUUUCUCCUAUUAAUCUGCCUGCUGGUAGUUUAUUUCAUAGACCCGGUUUCUGAACUUCAGAGAGUAGAAGGAAAAUCUCCCUCCCAUUCUGCCGUAAGUACUAAGAAUAAUUCAGUUUUUGCUGAGAAGCCAGUAAGUCCUGGGAAAAGAACGAGUUGUGGCGCUCAGAGGACUCUUGCGCAGGCUGCAGCAAGACACUCACCCGUGCCCCUCCCCACCAGUCCUCAGCCUGCCGCCCCACCCACGAGACAGUGCACAGCACGCCAGGCUUCUGAGCCUCUGGGCCCACCCCGUGCAGUCAAGACGCAGAGAAGAAUCCACGCAGGAGCGCCAAUUCCUCAGUCCGCCAGCUGUACCCCACCCCAUUCUGAGAUGGUAACUAAAUGGGCCACAAGACGGCCGUGUGAUACCCGCCACGCCCGAGGGCCCUCAUCCGCCCGCCCGCCCCCUCGCCCGCCCGCCCGC